rnacentral:rRNA from 1 species
CCUACGGGUGGCAGCAGUAGGGAAUAUUGCUCAAUGGGGGAAACUCUGAAGCAGCAACGCCGCGUGGAGGAUGACGGCUCUCGGAGUUUAAACUUCCUUUGUUAUUGGGGUUAACAACCCUAUCUAACGAGUCAGCACCGUCUAACUCCGUUCCAGCAGCCGCGGUUAUUCGGAGGGUGCAAGCGUUAUUCGGAUUGACUGGGCGUAAAGAGCGCGUAGGCGGGAUAGCAAGUCAGAUGUGAAAUACCAGGGUUCAAGCAUGGAACUGCAUUUGAAACUGUUGUUCUAGAGAGUGGGCGCGGUAGGUGGAAUGCAUGGUGUAGGGGUAAAAUGCGUAGAGAUCAAACAGAAUACUGAUUGCGAAGGCAACUUACCAAAACAUAACUGACGUUGAUGCACGAAAGCGUGGGGAGCAAACAGGAUUAGAUACCCCUGUAGUC